rnacentral:rRNA from 1 species
UACGUAGGGUGCAAGCGUUAAUCGGAAUUCCUGGGCGUAAAGCGUGCGCAGGCGGUUUUGUAAGUUUGACGUGAAAUCCCCGGGCUCAACCUGGGAAUUGCGUUGGAGACUGCAAGGCUGGAGUCUGGCAGAGGGGGGUAGAAUUCCACGUGUAGCAGUGAAAUGCGUAGAGAUGUGGAGGAACACCGAUGGCGAAGGCAGCCCCCUGGGUCAAGACUGACGCUCAUGCACGAAAGCGUGGGGAGCAAACAGG